AAAUAUUUCAUCUGUACUCCUUCAGUAAAUUCAUGAAGAACUAAGAAGGGCUAUUUUGAUAGGCAUUGAUACUUGAAAUGUUUACUGCUGUCGUUGUCAUCGCUCCUUGAAUCCCUUUGUUUUUCAUCCUGCCCCAAAUUUUCAUUACCUUCUUCUGAUUUUAUCUUUUCAAAUUCAGUAAAGGCUUUGCUCUUGGGACCUUUCAAAAAUUCAGUAAAGGCUUUGCUCCUGGGACCUUGUCUUUCUGUUUGCUUUAUGAAAUACCUGUCCUUUUUAAGUAUGCUGCAAAAUAACAAUAGUAUCCUUAGGCAUGAAAUGGCUUGAGGUCCUCAGCUCUUUCCACUGGAUUCUUUUAGCUGGGAAGACGAGUCAUUUAUCAUCUCUGGAGAAAAGAGACAUGAGCACCAGAAGAGAGGUUUUAUAGGAUCAGCUGAUGUCUGUGUGCUCUAAGAGUAACAGAGGAAGCAGAGGUUCCUCAGGGGCUGCAGAAAGCUCUGCCAGUGGUUGUACCUGUUUAGGAAAACAUGCCUCUUAAAUGAAAGCAUGCAUUUGGUGAAUAAGUUGCAGGCUGCCUCACAUCUUGGCUCAGUUUGGGGCAUAUGGUUUAGUUGAGAGGGAGAGAUUUUUACCUGAGUGUUUUGUGACGUAGCUACCAUCUUGGUGCAGAGCUACUGUCUUUACUUUUCUUUGUAUAUCAUUUUUCCAAUUUAUCUUCAUUUUCUGUAUUGGCAAUGAACUGAGUUGAAUUAACUUGUGUUUUUUUUAAAUGGCAAGACUAAGAUUCACCAUGUGGUUAGCUUAUGUGUGGUUAAUUGCCUAUAAUGCUUUAUCAGAAUAGUAACUGUGAACUGGGUGGAUAAAAUAAUGUUAAUAUAUGUAACUUUGGUGACUUUCUUCAGUGUUUGAUUUCUGCUGCUCUCUCUGACUGAACUUUCUGAUCAUUUGCGAUGGAACUUGCAGAAAUUAAAAAAAAAAAAAUUAAAAAAAAAUUUAUAACACAGUAUACUGACAAGUUUAGAAAGCCAGAGUUGGUCUGGGUUUCUCUGUUUUCAUGGGGGCCAGGUUGGGAGGAGGCACUGGUUGCACUGAGGUAUCAGUCCAUAGAAGUGAGUAUGUAUCAUCCAUAGUGCUACAUAUAACCAUUAGUCUGUCUCUUCCAGGGUGAAUGUGUACUGGGUUUCGUUAUGUGCUGAUUAUGGGGUACUGGUAAGGUCCAAGUGUUAUCUGUGGAUUAGGAAAGAAUUUGUGAAGCCUCAAAAAUAGCUACUGUGUAUAAGCCUCCUGGUAAGUUUCUGUGUACCUCCUAGUGCCAGGUACGAGCCUCAUCUGCAUGAUGAUGCCAGCUUCAAGAACAUUCAUGCUGUCUUGGCGCCUCAGGGAGAAAGGAUGUGUGCUUCAAGGCUGGGUUUCAACCGAGGACACAGCAUCUCGUCUACAUACAGAGGGGCUUUGCUGUAUUAUAUCUCUGUGUACACAUAUCAUGGUGCAUUCUGGUUUGAGAUUAGGCUUGUGCCCUAGACACCUGCAGGGCUGGUGUAUCUCAGAGGUAAACACUUUUUAUCAUGAAAUACGGGUAAUUGGAUGGCUUCAACACUGAACAGACAGCUGUGUAUUUAAAUGUGACCUUAUACCCAGUCAGUUCAUAACCUGCAUUUUAAAUAUGGUAUUUAGGUAAAUGUUUCACUGAGCUUGAGGAAUUGUUAAAACCAACACCACAAGGGUAUGCUAAUGUAAUUAGAUGACUUGCAGUGUAUUUUGCCUUGUUUGGGCUCAGUUGCAGUUCAACCAGAUGCAAAAAUCUGUAGACAGUAACUGAAACAAGCCUUGCCGGACAAAGGUGAGAUCCACAUGUCAAAGGUGGUGGUAGAGACAGCUGCCAGAAGAUUUGCCAGUGAGACUUCGCAUUUCCAGUUGAGAGAGGACCUUGAACGAGGUUUUAAAGCAGUAAGUACAACUGGGGCAUGUCCAUGAGAACUUGGCAUCCAUUGUUAGGCUGCUGGGGUGGGGGUUUUUUAUUAAUAGGAGGUUGUUCACUGUGUGUUGAAGUUAUAGUGCUACAGGAGGAGAGGCUCCAAAUGCCCAAUCUAUGCCACGUUUAUGCAGCUGGAGUGAAUCAGUGUUACUUUGUCCUUUUCCUACUUGAAGGUGCUGUGUAGAUGUCAAGUCCCAUUCAGUAAAUGAUGCAAGGAUUUGGAAAGCAGAAGAAUGGGUAGAGAUGGUGCCCUGCCAGUAAUUGCUGGAAGCGGAGGAGAAGGGAGCGGUAGGAUACUGGCACGUGGAGAAGUGCAGAGAUAUUCCUACUCUGGCUGAUUGUUUUUAAUAAAGUUAUUUUUAUAGUAAUUGAACAUUGUCUCAUGAUCCCGUUUCCUGCAUCAAUUUAUCCUCGUUUCGUACAUGUCUCUGCUGAAAAACGCUGUUUAUCCAGUUGCCA